rnacentral:misc_RNA from 1 species
GGCGCACAGGGUGGCGGGGGGAAGUAGAUUUGCAAUAAGCUUUAUCCUUAGAAGUGCAAAAAAAUAUCCACAAAGGCAAACAAUUACCAUUUCAUACAAAGAACAUGAGACUUGACCUUAGGCCAAAAAGUGGGAACAUAAGAUAACAAAACCAAAAACCAACAGUAAAGCACAAAUUUUGUGUAUUUUAUUUUUCAAAGAAUAAGGGUCAAAACAAGGGUUUCACCUCCAGAAUCAUUUGCUCAUUUCAAUAAGUCAUUUACAUUUUUAUUAAACAGAGAGGGACAGAGAAGGAGAGAAUGAGAUAAGGAAUCUGUCAAA